UCAGGAUGAUCUGGCACUGCCUCUCUUG
rnacentral:piRNA from 1 species